rfam:Calypte anna contig24076, whole genome shotgun sequence.
UUGGCCCUAAAUCAAGGCCACUGGUUUGCUGUAGCCAUUGGUUUCAAACAGGAGCCCAAAGCAGAGGUCUCCCGGUCUGUUGGUGUUCCCAUUGCCCAUGGAGCAGCCAAUUCGUGAGGGAGCAACAACA